UCCUACGGGAGGCAGCAGUGGGGAAUAUUGGACAAUGGGCGCAAGCCUGAUCCAGCCAUACCGCGUGUGUGAAGAAGGCCUUCGGGUUGUAAAGCACUUUAAGCAGGGAGAAAAAGUUAUAAGUUAAUACCUUAUAACCGUGAUGUUACCUGCAGAAUAAGCACCGGCUAAUUCCGUGCCAGCAGCCGCGGUAAU
rnacentral:rRNA from 1 species